GAUGAACGCUGGCGGCGUGCCUAAUACAUGCCAGUCGAGCGAACAGACGAGGAGCUUGCUCCUCUGACGUUAGCGGCGGACGGGUGAGUAACACGUGGAUAACCUACCUAUAAGACUGGGAUAACUUCGGGAAACCGGAGCUAAUACCGGAUAAUAUAUUGAACCGCAUGGUUCAAUAGUGAAAGACGGUUUUGCUGUCACUUAUAGAUGGAUCCGCGCCGCAUUAGCUAGUUGGUAGGGUAACGGCUUACCAAGGCGACGAUGCGUAGCCGACCUGAGAGGGGGAUCGGCCACACUGGAACUGAGACACGGUCCAGACUCCUACGGGAGGCAGCAGUAGGGAAUCUUCCGCAAUGGGCGAAAGCCUGACGGAGCAACGCCGCGUGAGUGAUGAAGGUCUUCGGAUCGUAAAACUCUGUUAUUAGGGAAGAACAAAUGUGUAAGUAACUAUGCACGUCUUGACGGUACCUAAUCAGAAAGCCACGGCUAACUACGUG
rnacentral:rRNA from 1 species